GGAAGGCUUUGUGUUAGAGCAUCUGCCUUCCAUUCAGAAGGUCCCAGGUUCAAUCCCUGCCAUCUCCA